GUAAUAAAUUACGGCUGACUGACUAUAUUUCAGACAAAAGGAAGAGCCAGUUUCAAGUGAAAUGCUCUUGCAAACGCCAACAUAGUCCCUGGAGAAACUGCUGUGACCAUUAGGCUUUUGUUACUGGCCAGCAGCUUUCCGUUUCCAUGCAAAUGAAGGGAAGAACCAAUUUCAAGUGAAAUGCUCUUGCAAAAGCCAACAUGAUUCCUGGGGAUAUUGCUCCAAACUGUGACCACUAGGCUUUUGCUACCGGCCUGCAUCUUUGUCCUUCCAUGCAAAUGGAGGAAAGAACCAAUUUCAAGUGAAAUGCUCUUGCAAAAGCCAACAUGGUUCCUGGGGAUGCUGCGUCAUGCUGUGACCACUAGGCUUUGCCACCGGCCAGUACCUUCUCCUUCCAUGCAAGAUCCUUUCUGCAGGGCAACUGCUGCCUCUUUGAGAUGGAUGUCAAUCCCUGUGCCAAUCUCUGGGUGCCCUUCUGGAUUUUCAUGGGUGAAGACAACUGGACAGUGAGUGACCCUCCAAGACUUUGCUGCGAUUGGGCUUUGCAUGCAUUUGGGGACUUUGUUCUAGUGCCUUCCUUUCCAGAGAUUUCAUAGCAAUAAUUGUGCGGGAAAUGUGUGACUUGAAAUGCUGUGUUUUUGGUAAAAUGCUGUUUGGAAAUGGUGGGAGGGGGGCACUGAAACCUUUCUUCUGUUGUUCCACAUGCCUCUUGGGAUCAAGGGAAAUAACCAGCAUUUGACCACCGUUUGACCUUCUUUAGCGCAUUGCUUUUGUAAUGUAGUUGUUGCGGUGGUGGGUUUCUCCUUUUCUUGGUUUUUCAACAGUUGCAACCAAGAACACACAGACCUCAAAAGAAAGCCAUCACUUCAAGAUCAGUGAAUGGAAGUCAUUCCAGUAAGAUCAGUGCAUUGAGAACCCCCUUCCACUCACUUUCUUUGGGGUUACUGGUAGAGACCAAGGAGCACCAAGAUUUUAAGUUUGCUUUUCACAGAUCAGGAGGAGGAGGCAGAGUCUCAGAUGCAAGAAGUUCACACA